ensembl:snRNA Gm25721 predicted gene, 25721
GUGCUUACCGGGCAGAGGAGAUACCAUGAUUUCAGGGUGGUUUUCCCAGGGUGAGGCUUAUCCAGUGUCCUCUGGACGUGCUGACCCCAGGGAGUUCCCCACUGUGAGAAAGUAACCGCAUGGUGUAACCACAUGGUUUAUGGUAGAGGACUGAAUUCAUAUUUUCACCCA